GCCAGCAGCCAUAUCACCCUGCAGCUGCCCACUGGAGCUCAGUAGGUGUGAGUCUGGUCAGUACCUGGAUGGAAGACCUCCUGGGAAAAACUAAGGUUGCUGCUGGAA
rnacentral:rRNA from 1 species